UUUGCCACUAGAUCUUCUGUAUCUUGUCCGUGUGCAAGAGUCGAAUAAAACCCAAGUUGGCACAAUGUAUUGUCAAUGUCUGUGGAUCUCUCCAAAGGAAAUCAAUCAUUGGAUCGAGUUUGAUGCCAAUUAGCUUUCCGCAAUAAAAUUUCAAUCGACAGUGUGAAAAGAGAGAGGAGUGAUCAUGAAGUUUGUUGGUCUUGUCUGAUGAAAAAUCAACACUUCCACAUGAUAAGUUAGACGGUCCCAAAGGGAUAGUUGACACUCUGCCACAGAAUUGAGAGCAAAUGAAGAAGGUGAUUGCAGCAGGCCGAUCAAAGGAGAAAUAUGCAGUACACCUACAGAAGACUCUAGAACAAUUCUGCAGAAAAAGGAAAGAGUAAGGUGUUAUGAGAAUAUUCUUGUAAACAGAAUUAUAUUCUAUGAAACACGUGUCAUAUAUGUGCAGAGUAUUCUGUUGUGAAAAUCAUCUAUAUAAACAUUGUAAAAAGGCAUGAUUGUGCAGAGAAGAACUAUAUGAAUUAUGAAAGUGACCCUUUGAGACAUUUCA